rnacentral:tRNA from 1 species
UCAAAGAGAGGAGAAUUUAACUCCUAUCCCUAACUCCCAAAGCUAGGAUCUUUAGUUAAACUACUCUUUG